UACGUAGGGUGCAAGCGUUAUCCGGAAUCACUGGGCGUAAAGCGUGCGUAGGUGGAUGUUUAAGUGAGAUGUUAAAUCGUGUGGCUCAACCAUAUCGAUGCAUCUCAUACUGGGCAUCUAGAGGACAGCAGAGGCAAGUGGAAUUGGUAGUGUAGCAGUGAAAUGCGUAGAUAUUACCAGGAACACCAAUGGCGAAGGCAGCUUGCUGGGCUACUCCUGACACUGAGGCACGAAGGCCAGGGGAGCAAACGGG
rnacentral:rRNA from 1 species